rnacentral:rRNA from 1 species
GAUCCUGGCUCAGGAUGAACGCUAGCUACAGGCUUAACACAUGCAAGUCGAGGGGCAGCAGUGAACUUAGCUUGCUAAGUUUGAUGGCGACCGGCGCACGGGUGAGUAACACGUAUCCAACCUGCCGAGUGACUCGGGGAUAGCCUUUCGAAACGAAAGAUUAAUACCCGAUGGCAUAGUUCUUCCGCAUGGUAGAACUAUUAAAGAAUUUACGGUCUAUCGAUGGGGGAUGCGUUCCAUUAGGG